GCCACAAUGAGAUCAUAGGAGUCUGCCGCGUGGGGAUCAACGCUGAAGGCCUGGGCCGGGACCACUGGAACGAGAUGCUGGCGUACCCACGGAAGCCCAUCGCACACUGGCACUCCUUGGUGGAGGUAAAGAAAUCCUUCAAAGAGGGAAACCCUCGGUUGUGAUUUCAUUCACGUGGACGCUGCACGCAGAGAGACUGCCACCUGGAGUUAGGAUGGCAGGGCCGGGCUGCCAGCUUUGACAGCGAGAGCUCGUGCCCGUCUCCGAAACCACCUCCCACACCAUGAGCCGCGCGGCCGGGCGCCACCAACGGGACUCAGCGAUGUUCUUUUUGCACUCGUCCCACCGUCCAAACAGUGUUGCGCAGGGGCAGCGGUGGCCGUAGCACGAGUCUUAACCGCUCCUGUGUAGGUCAAGGCCAAGACCCUUGUCGUGUGGCCAGACCUGUCUUAGUCUUUCUUGUCUCCCAAGGUGAUGUUUUCUGUGGUUUUCACUUUUUAUGGAUCGGCUGCCAAGAAGGGAAGGGGGGAAGAGUAGGAGAGAAAGAAGAGUGGAGAGCCCAGAAGCUGGUUCAUAUGAAAUACAAUGUAAAAUAGUUGUCUUUCCCGGGGGACGUGGUUUGAGUUCCUGCAGUGUUGUGUCCCCACCAAGCUCCACAAGCCUGUAGAAGAAGGACAUGGGAUGGAGCCAUGGCUGCGUCUGCAGUGGCCUGCAGAAAGAUGCAAAUCGGGCCAAGAGCCUUUACAAGGCGCGCUGUGACCCUCGGAAGCUCUUCGCCGCUGUGACACAGACCGAAGUGUAGGCUCCUGGUCCUACGGUGAAAUCACGAGUGCUCCGAGGUAUCCUCGCACCUUCCGCAGGUCGUGCAGGGCUCCUCCCCGCCCCCCUUUCCUUGUUGACUUUCCUCAUCAUCUGAAAAUGUCUUGAUCCCUCGUGGGAACUUAGUCCCUUUCUUUAGGAAUGGUUCUGCUGAAACUAAACAUGCUGUAUGUUUUCUGGCACACCACAGUUAACGACCACAUUUGUUUGAAUACGGGAUCUUUGUUCUCAAAAAUAACCUUCGUUGUAAAGAAGAGAAGGCACACGUGUUCCAGAAUGACUUCGGUGUUAUGCGUAGCUUUAUUAAUCCCAUGAAGUAUCAAGCAACUGUUGAAAAUGCCUAAUUAGGUCAAAGAAACACCUAGAUAAAACGUUCUUUGGGGAAUGGGGAGUUUUAAUCCAAGUCAUAGCUGGAAUCCAUCUUUCCGUGACGAGAAUCUUCUUGAUUGAAACAAAGUCAGCUUAAGCCUAUUUCAGCCCCCCUGACUCUGGGACAAUAUCCAUCUUAAACUUUAGUUCUAUAGAUUACUAAGUACUUCAGUGUUUGUUUCAGUGGUAGUGAAGGUUUUUUGGGGUUUUUUCCCUUUAGAUCUCUACCUUAGGCCAAAUUCAGUUUAGGAAAAAAACAUGUUUCAACUCUUCUGUAUUGUAAUAGUAUGUUUCUGUUGAGUUCAUAUUGGUCUUCCCACCAACCACCUAUAACUCAGUUGAUUUGCUCAAUCUCAGUCUGUAUAGCCCUGGUAAAUUCGUGGAGGUGAGUUUCUACUUUAUCUGUGACUACACAAUGCCAACUUCCAGAGUUGUGUGUGUGACUUGCAAGAGGCAAGUCUGCUGAAGAACACCUUCUUCCACCAAUGGAAGGUCAAGAAGGGAAAAGCUAUUCACACACCUUGUGUCUUACUCUUUAUAUAUGUCACAUGCUUCAGGAGCAGAAACUCAAUAAAGUAACCCUCACCUUAAGCCAAGUUAUCAGGUUUCUCUGCUGAUAUAACUUUAGGCAGUGUCUUCUACCCAAAGUUCAGAUGGGCAUGAGGAUGACCAGGAUAUUGUGGCCAGAGAUGUUUUCAGCUUAGAAAAGUAAGGGCAGAUAAACCAAACUCCACUCGGUACUGAGCCUUAGGCUAGGAGCUAAUGUGUCAUUGGUAUAAAGAUAAGUUUUCUCUCCAAAUGUCUUACGAUUGAUAGGCCAUCCUAGUCAGGCAGUACUG